rnacentral:rRNA from 1 species
AUGGCCCUCACUUGGAUAUGGGCUAUUGUUCAUUACAUAUCAUAUGCCCAUCUUUCCAUGUUCACAUUGCAUGAUAUGCCCAUUCCUAUGCCUUUGCCAUGCAUUUGUGACCCAUGCUUUGCAUUACACAUGAUGAUUGAUUCUAGCACUUGUAUGUGUAUUUGCAAGCUUGGUGGAGAUAUUGCUUGUUCUUGCCAUUCUCCUUUUGUGCACCAUUCCUAUGAUGAUACUUUGAUCUUGCUUUGUGUUCGUGCUUGCGGUAUGUCAUGUGCAUUCCCUAUGCCUAUUAUUUGCUCACAUGACAUGAUUGCCAUGAUUUACUCUAGUGUGUUGCAUCUUCGCUCCACUAGUUUGCACGACUUGAUUACUAUGCUUGCUUAUGUUGCAUCACCAAUGACUCAUACUUGCUCAUUUCAUGCGGUUGAUGACAACCAUCUAUAUGCUUUGCACAUGAUUCAUAUUGCUUCUUGUCAUAUAUCUCCAUGGGUUGCCUCUCUCAUGCUAGAUUAUUUUCCAUGUAUUGAGUGCAACAAUGAUUCUGUUCUUGCUCAUGAGAUUGCUCCCAAAGCAUUCUCGCAUAUAUUUGGAGAUUUUGACAUAAUUCUUGUGAAGCAUGCUUGUCUUAAUUCUUUGCACCAUAUACCUAGUGCCAUGAAUUUAGCCAUUGUUGCAUCAUAUUAUUCAUGCACUUGUGCUUCUAAUGGUUUUGUGCAAAAGAUGAGAACCAUCAUGAUGGAUGAUGUGUUUGUCUACCAUGCACAUACUUCCUUUGUUUUGUUUUGUGCAUGUGUAGGAUACUUGGACUUUGUGUCGACUUCCACUUCACAUGAGUUGACCAUUCGAGCUCUUGAGAGCGAGCCUCAUACAUUCUACCACGACUUGCUUCUACACCAUAUUUUCUUCCACUUCGGCAUUGUGAAGAAUGCACAAGGACACGCCUUCAAGGUGACAUCCUUCUUGAGCUUGGAUAUUGUGGAUCAUACUUUAUGUGUUGCUUCCACCAUUUGCACGCAUGUUCGAGAUAUUGCUUUCACCCAUGAUUGCCACAUUUCCAUGCUUCAUGAUAUAUAUACCUUGUGUGUUGCAUCCAAUUCUUGGUCUACUUGCUACAAUCAUAUGAUUGGUUGCACCAAUAUCAUUUCUUCACAUAUGACAUGUACCUUUGCUUGUCACAUGCUUGACUUUAUUGCCUCACACAUGAUGAACACUUGCUCUUUCUAUUGUGCUGAGUGCCACACUAUAUUCACUACACCUUAUGCACAUUAUGCUUGGAUUGUCUUGCACUUGACCCAUGUGUUUAGACACUUCAUUUUAUUUGGUGUUGUGAAUACUUCCUAUGCCUACCAUAUGAGCAAUUUGUGA